UUUUGAGCAUCACUUUAGUCGGGUGCUGCAGAGACAUCAGAGGUGUAGAAUGAAUGGGAGGCCCCACAGGUGUGCAACUCAGGCCCCGAUCCAGUUGCCAGUGAAAUAAUACUGAUCAUUUUUUCUACUUACCCAGUGAUGUGUGUGUGAGCCCCAGAUGGCUCUCACUUCUGAUGCCAAGUCCGUGGCAUAAUCUGCUCUGGGGACAUGGUCAGCUGAGGAGUUUGAUGAGUAUACCUGUGUCAAACCUUAACACAGGUGUCCAAAGGUGAGCUGAGGGAGAACAGAAAGCAGGACAGAAAAAUCUUGGUUUUCAGUACAAAUAUCUUCCAGAAAAGUAGGGCCUCAUGAUCCUUUUGACUUCUUGGGUUUUAACCAGGCAUCCAGGAGACAGUGGAUGAGGAGCUCCAGGCAUGCAUUUCCACA
rnacentral:ncRNA from 1 species